UUUUCAAGUCUGCCCCACCCACAUGUUCGCACUCACACAUUGGCCAAACACAGUGUCUUUUAAAUUAAUAUUUCCUGAAUUGCUUACAUUCUCUCCCCUUGCCUCCUUUUCAAAACCUAUUGGAGAAGAGGGUCCGAGGAGAGUGACCCUGGACCUUCUACAAUACGAUUGAGAAGUAGGCAAGGAUGUGGGAUGCAAGAACAUUUUUGUCAAUUCUUAUAAAAAAGGAACUUCUAAGUGUAUAUGCAAUGUGAUACAUUGUUUUUCACACUUUCAAACACUACAUUUAUAUUUUCCAACAGGACUAUACAUUUGGACCCCCAAUACAAGAUUUUGAGGAAGUGGUUGGAAUCUGGUGGUGGGAUGCCAAGGAGAAGAACCCAAAGACCCAAGAAGACUUGUACUCCUACGCCCUAGUCCUCCACCAACAACUGAGGAACUUGUGCAAUCACAAGUGAGAAGAGGCCUAGCGUUGGGUGAACUUCUGAGACGAUGCAGGAGCUCCAGAAACCUCCUCCAGCUCAGCGACCUUGUGAGAAACCCAGGCCUGAAUCACUUCAUUGAAUAUAUCUACUGAUUCCUGGACGGCAGUAUAGAGUGGUCUAAGGCACUGAAUCGCAGUGCUAGCUGUGCAACUAGAGAUUCUGAGUCCAGGCUCUGUCGCAGCCGGCCACGACCGGGAGACUCAUGGUGCGGAGCACAAUUGUCCCGGCAUCGUUAGGGAGGUGUGGCUGGCAGGGAUGUCCUUGUCCCAUCGUGCACUAGCGACUCCUGUGACGGGCCGGGUGCAGUGGACGCUGACACGGUCGCCAGGU